UAGCGGGCGUUACCACACAGUUUCCGAUUUCCGGCUCAGCGUCCAAUCGCCAGCCCGCCCCAGGCUUUCCGUUUCCGGCAGCACAGGCCUGUGGGACUUGAACCUGUUGUGAAGCCGGUUAGUCCUGGGCAGGCGGGUUCCCUCAAGGUGGCUAUGAUUGUGUCUCUAGCCCCCGCCUGUCCUGCAGUCUGUCUGCAGGUCCGCAGCAGAAACGCGCAGCUUGAGUCAGUCGCGGAGCACCCACUUCCAGUGUCUCGGAUCGCAGAGUGGGAUACAAGACGCCGCCACCUUUGUUUCCGUGGGAACCUUGGGAAGUUAGCAGAGGGCCUUCAGGAGUUGGCUCUCUCUUCUGACUCCGGCCUCAGAAGGACUGCUGACCUUUUGCCAGGAAAAGUAUUUUCUUUUUCAGUGGGAAACUUGUAUCUAUCCACAUUGUGGAAGACACAGGGAAGAAUCAGAAGAAAAUGAAACGUGUUAGUCUUGCAGCCCCGUUUGUCUCCCUUGCUAGGCUGUCAGCUAGUUCUCAUUCUUGGUAGCGCAGGUUCUGGCACGAAAUAGAUAAUACCUGGUGAACGAAUGAAUGUUAACAUUUUGGUGUGCGUUUCUCCCUAGGCUUUUUUUUUUUCCCCGCAAAUAUAUACAUAUCACAUGCAUAUUUCCACAUAAUUGAGCUGCCCCUACAUGGCCUGGGAAAAUCAGUAACUGCACUUAAAUCCUUGCUGCUGCUGUCGCUGGAGCACGCUUUAGUUGCCUAUGUGAGAAGCAGCUGAAUUGCAAAUCAAUAGCAUGUCAGGUCUGCCCUUCUGACUUUCAGGGCUCUCACUUGAAAUCACAGUUUCAUCUGUCAACUGGCACCUCCAAUUAGCACUCGGUCAGAUAAUCCAGUAGGAGUCAGAGCUCCUGGGGACUGGAAAGGCUUGGCUCUGACCGAUGGCUUUUAGCUGUCCUCCAUUUCUUCUGCCCAUCUCUGAGGUAUCUGCUUCCAACCUUAAUUUUUAGAGUUUUAGGAUGUUUAAGACAGAUGAUCUCUAACAUACCCUUGAAAUUCUGUAAGAUGCUGCUGAGCCAACUGAAUAAGAUAAUAGAGGCCAACUGAAGUGUAACUUUUGUUGUUUUGCAGUCAGAUUAUCACAGGAGCUGUUCUUGGUCGGUUACCUUUUGCAGAAGGAAUGGCACAGAUUCUUUUUCUCUCCUCCCCACUCCAACCCAGUUCCAGAGGGUCUGGAUCCAGCAGGUAUUCGGUGACCACGACUACCUUGAUCGCGGCUGACCCAAGGCCAUGCCUGUAUAGUACUCAAUGACGUCGGGUCUGGGCCAGACAGAGUGAGAGGUCAGGAAAUGGUCCCUGGAUUGUCCCUCAGGCACCCCCACAUCAAUAGAGGAGUCUCUGUCAGAAACUCGGCCCAAACCUGGCUGAGGAGGCAUAUCAAGGGCACUUCUGUGUGGGAAGCACGUGGGCAUCCGUCUGGCUCAUUCCCAAGUCCACAGAUGAAAUCAGAGGCCUGGAGAAGAGUAGUCACCUGAGACCUGAAGCUCAGGCCUGGAGGGGUUAGGUUGAAAGCAUCUCGCAGGCGGUGCCCUGCACGUCGGGCCCAGAGGGCUGGGCACAUGGAAAGGGCACCUGGCCUUCACGCCGCGUGCCGCUGUGUCAGUGCUUUGCCGCCUUGGCGUCGUGCGGCCGAUGGUGGAGUCUGUAACUUUCUAUCAACAAGACUAAUUGAGCUUUUGCUCUGAGCCAGAAAUUCAGCUGAAGCACCUUCCAUGCCCUGGGGGAGUUCACUGUCACCACGUGAAAAUACCAAGGGUUACGGUGUCUGUAACAACCUGAUUAGGGUGUCAGCCCUGAGAAUACAAAGGAUGAAAUGAUUGCCUCUGUGGGAGGAAGGUCUGUGUGAACUGGAGAAAGUCUGACCUCCCUGCCUGGGAAAAGGCAAUGCUGGAAUUUGCACUUGCUAUUUCCCGAGCUGAUGACAUAACAGAUGACCAUUUCAAAAAGCUCGAGGUGCACGGAUUCAACCAAGAAGAUGCCUGGGAUAUAGCUGCAAUUUCAGCUUUUUAUGCCAUGUCCAAAUGCCUUGCUCAUUUUGUCAGUCUUGUUCCCAACAAAGAAUUCUAUUUGAUGGGCAGAACCAAUGAUGUCAAAGACAUCAGGAGUGAACCUGCUGCUCCCAAAGUAUAAAAGUCUGAACAGAAAGGCCAGUGUUUACAUUUCCAGCACAUUGCAUUAUAAGACACCAGUUGGGAAGUAAUUUUUUUAAAUGUUUAGUCAAUGGAUAGGGAAGAAAGUAAAUAAAUUUGUUCCCUGCCUGCUUGAUGAGAUAGAUCCUAAGGGACAUGUGAUAUCUGGGCCUCGGGGAAACCUUUUACUUUUUUACUUUUGUUGUGAUGUGAAAGGAGCAUCAGGGACAAAGGAGUUCAGAGGAUGCUUUAGGCAUUUCUGAUGAACUGAUAUCUGUGAAUUUCAGCAAUUGAAGUUGAACAUAUUUUAGCUUUUAAAAAUAGUGUUACAUGGAAA